rnacentral:rRNA from 1 species
UCGGGAAUCUUGCACAAUGGGCGAAAGCCUGAUGCAGCAACGCCGCGUGAGGGAUGAAGGCCCUCGGGUCGUAAACCUCUGUCGGAAGGGAAGAAAGCAUUUCGGGCCAAUACCCCGGAGUGCUGACGGUACCUUCAAAGGAAGCGCCGGCUAACUCCGUGCCAGCAGCCGCGGUAAUACGGAGGGCGCGAGCGUUAUUCGGAAUUAUUGGGCGUAAAGCGCGUGUAGGCGGCUAUGCAAGUCGGAUGUGAAAGCCCGGGGCUCAACCCCGGAAGUGCAUUGGAAACUGGAGAACUUGAGUACGGGAGAGGAAAGUGGAAUUUCGAAUGUAGGGGUGAAAUCCGUAGAUAUUCGAAGGAACACCAGUGGCGAAGGCGGCUUUCUGGACCGAUACUGACGCUGAGACGCGAAAGCGUGGGGAGCAAACAGGAUUAGAUACCCUGGUAGUCCACGCCGUAAACGAUGGGUACUAGGUGUCGCGGGUAUUGACCCCUGCGGUGCCAAAGCUAACGCAUUAAGUACCCCGCCUGGGGAGUACGGCCGCAAGGCUA